UAUCAAUGUACACAAGCCAAUCAAGUCUAUCCUUGGACAACCAAAAACAUUUCGCCAACAUGUUGUCAUUCUUGGACGUGUUCAUUUGGAUUUGCAGAUGAAGUACUUAAAAGGUCAGUUUAAUUAGUUUGUAUCAUAUUAACUAUAGGGGUGCACCGGAACCAAUUUUUUAAGUUCCAGCCGGAACCGGAUCCGACCGGAACUGGAAAAAAGUUCCGGCCGGAACCGGAACUAAUUUAUUAAGCCAUAUAUAGUCAUAUGUUACUUUGUCCGCUGCCAGACAGGCAGACACUUCAAGUCAUCAACGAGAGAGCUCGCAAAUGUUAGAAUAAAAAGAUUGACAAACGUUAAACGUCAUAAUGAAGUGUUAAUAGUGUACAUUUCCCUUUCGCAGUCCAACUUUCUUCUUACUGUGACCUUUUGUUGGACACAAAAACGUUUUAUAUAUUAUCUCUCUGAAAACGACAGAGUUCCGGUUCCGGCCAUGCUUUUUUUAUUAGUUCCGGCCGGAACUCUGAAAAAUCGGGUUUCCGGCCGGAACUAACCUGCCGGAACCGAGUUCCGGUGCACCCCUAAUUAACUAAUGACUAUUAUACUGUACAAAUGAUAUGAAAAUUUUCCUCCAAUCAUCCCCCUUUGGCACUGCCCCCACCCGCCUCUAUGUUUUCCAAGUCCGUUUCCAAAAGUAAAGAAAUAUACUCAAAUUCUUGUGGGUAGCCAAAAAUAUUUCUUUCAUCAAAUUAGGUUUUUUUAGGGAUUUUUUAGAGCUGUCCCAAAAACUCAAUCUCGAAUUGAGUUUUGAAACUCGAUCUUCUGACCAGAAGUUUCAUUGUGGUAAAAAUGAAGUUGUUUGAGUUACAUUUGUGACGUGUGGGAUUAAGUUUUCAGUUGGAAACCCGACGUCCUUUCGCAUUUUAAUAUUACAAAAAAAUUUAAAACAUGUGUUUAUCGGUCGAAAGUAAUUGUUUUGAUGAGAGAAAUGUUUCUUGACAUUUUUCAAAAAGUUUGAAAUAGUUUGGGGGCACUUUUUGAAUUUUUGAGAAAUUUCCUGUGAAUUUACCAAUGCAGCAUAUAAAUUAUAAAUUCUGAAUAAUAAUUGUGUAUGCCAAUAAGGCAAUGUGAAUUCUAUUGGCAUGCAAAAUUGUUAUUCAGAAUUUACAAUUUCUAUGCUGCAUCCGAUCUAUAUUUACCAAUCAGGGGAUUCUUUUGUAAAUACCCACUACCCAAAUAUUCAGAAGUCUUUACUUUCGUGCUAAAAUAGAAAUCGCAUUCCAGAGAAUAAAUUAAUAAAAUUAUAUUCAAAUUUAGGCAUUUUAGGGUGUGUUCUCCAUCUUUCGCCGUUGCCUUGUGUAGUCCUCGCCUGUUUGUGAAAAGAAGUACUUUAAUUAAAGAUCAAGAUACGACGCUUAAAUACAGGAAAGCACAAACUCCGAAGUUAAAGACAGGAUUAAGGUAUGUUUUAUCAAUUUCAUGUGAAAUGUUGAUAUAUUUUCCUGAGUGAAAAGUGGUUGAAAGUACUUGUCGAAAUUUACGAUCGCAAGUCGCUUUGUGUUCUACGUUUUGUGGUGGUUUAUAUAGAUACUGAAUUCAGUGGUGUAACAGAGGAACCCUUUGGCAUAUUUGGUGUGGGGGGCCCUGUUAACUGUUGUUAUUGUUUGCAUGAGAUGUUAUAUUUAGCUAUAUUCCCCUCUCUAUAACAAUCACAGCUCCAACACAACUAGGGAGCCGAUUAUCUGGAGCUCUUUCAACCCAGGGGUUGAACUAACCGGUUUGAAAUUUUUGUGAUUACAUGGAUGAUUUCGACCCCAGGGUUGAAAUGCUAUAUGUCCCUAGCAUUGAUUCCUGGAAGUACAAAAAUGGCUCCAUAGCCUCCAUUUUGUUUUCUUGUAACAAAUAGUCACUACCACGCAUGCUCGAGUAAGUAACUCAUUAAAAUUUUCAGCUCCGGGUUGAAACAUUUACAUGACAAAAUUUUCAACAAAGGGCAGAGUUUUCCCUGCUGGCAGAGGUCUCUAUUGGUAGGGACCUCUGCCAGCAGGGAGGGUUGAAUUUCAACCCCGGGGUUGAACUCAGUCCUGUGUUGAAAAUUUUGUAAUGUAAUUGUGUGUUUGAUUUUGAUAGAGUUUUGUAUUACAGACAGGGUUGAAAUUUCAACCCGGUCAACAGAGCUGGAUUCAGCCACGGGGUUGAAAAUGCUCCAUGUAAUCGGCCCCUAAUAAGAAUACCGUUUGUUUGAUUUAAGAUUUAUUAGAAAAUAUGGAGAUAGCGUAGCCAGGUUUAGACAUAAUUAAAAACAUAAACGUUCUCCGACUAAAAUGUUUAUUUAAAACGAGCUUUCGACUACCUAACUGUAGUCUUCGACGGGUAAAGCGGAAUGAAUCAUUCCGCUUUACCCGUCGAAGACUACAGUUAGGUAGUCGAAAGCUCGUUUUAAAUAAAAAUUUUAGUCAGAGAACGUUUAUGUUUUUAAUUAAGAUUUAUUAUUUAGCAUUAUUAAUUUUGCAUUUUCCCAUUGAUUCUUAACUUGCAUUUUUACAUCUUCUCAUUAGGACUGUUCGGUAUACCGAUAUACCGAAAAUAUCGGUAUUAAAUCAAUAUCGGUAUAUCGAUACCGGAUAUUCAACCAUACCGAUAUGCCGAAAUUUCGGAUAUACCGGAAUUUUUCCGUAUACCGCGUUAAAUUUACCAAUUAUAUGGCGAAACCAUAAACUUUAUUUUACUACUGAAUGGCAAUUCAAAGAACUUUCUACUGCAAUCAUUUAGAAUUUCCACUUCAGUGAGAUUUUACACUGAGUAUGUGCAUGUCGUUCGAAAUAUGUUCGAAACAGCUUCGGAAUUAUCGUUUUCCCUUUUAGAAUUACUCAAAAUUUCCUUCAAACUUCCAUUAAAGAAUUUUCCUUUAUAAUUAUCAAAGGAAAACCGGUAUAUUGAUAAUAUCGGUAUAAUUUUUUCGGUAUACCGAUACCGGAAAUUUCUCAUACCGAACAUUCCUACUUCUCAUUUUCUGGGCGACAGGUCGUGGCUGUUAGGGGGGGGGGGGGGGUAACNNNNNNNNNNNNNNNNNNNNGGGGCUAACUGUCGGCCCCUAAUUUGAACUAACCCUACCUAAUGAGCGUUACACCACUGACCGAAUUAUACCUUGACGUUUCGUCAAGUUUAAUUCAAAUUAGGGUAUUUUGAAGCUAAAUUUGUUUUUUAAAUUCGUCCUUUUAGUGAAAACAAGAAAUGUUGAAUAGUCUGCUGCGAGGAGACAUCGGCCAUUGUAAUGAAUGGAUGAUAAUGUGAGUCGCUGGCAAACCUACAGCCCCUACUGCGAUAGGCAGUCAAGUAUUUUUAACCGGCACAUUUCUGUUUUUAUUUCCCCUAUUUUAUUUUAUGUUCAUAAAUAUCAUGACUCAUGACUUUAAUGUUGGAAGGAGUUCCCACUCAACUGCAUGCCUUCUGAAUAAUAAUUAUAGACUCCAUUUUACAUGCUACCAUUUUACCUGUGAGAAUUUUUUGAGAUUUGAAAGCUAUUGCUUUCAACUAUAUAGAGCCCAACUAUAUGUCAUUUGCUCUGGGAAUAAAUGGGUGUACUGUUUGUACAUGUUGAAUGGCUGGAAGUGUUGCAGGUACCUUGGGAUAUCUAAUAAAGUUGUUAUAUUUCCGUUCUGUUUCUAUAAAGGCC
rnacentral:lncRNA from 1 species